GGAGAGAUGGCUGAGUGGUUGAAAGCACCGCACUCGAAAUGCGGCAUAGGGGAAACUCUAUCGAGGGUUCGAAUCCCUCUCUCUCCGCCA
rnacentral:tRNA from 1 species